rnacentral:lncRNA from 1 species
GCCCUAUUUGACCAGGGUGCUGGGUGCUAGUGCACUACUUUGACCAGGGGUGCUGGUGCUAGUGCACUACUUUGACCAGGGGCUAGUGCCCUACUUUGACCAGGGUGCUGGGGGCUAGUGCCCUACUUUGACCAGGGUGCUGGGGGCCAGUGCCCUACUUUGACCAGGGUGCUGGGGGCUAGUGCCCUACUUUGACCAGGGUUG